CACGUAGGGCGCAGGCGUUGUCUGGAAUUAUUGGGCGUAAAGAGCUCGUAGGUGGUUUGUUACGUCUGCUGUGAAAACCUAGGGCUUAACCCUGGGCUUGCAGUGGAUACGGGCAGACUAGAGGUAGGUAGGGGAGAAUGGAAUUCCUGGUGUAGCGGUGAAAUGCGCAGAUAUCAGGAGGAACACCGGUGGCGAAGGCGGUUCUCUGGGCCUUACCUGACACUGAGGAGCGAAAGCGUGGGGAGCGAACAGG
rnacentral:rRNA from 1 species